UGUCUUUAAAUAAAGCCUGUAUGAAAGGCAAAACGAAAGUUCAACUGUCUCUUUAAUCCAAUCAAUGAAAUUAAUCUUUCCGUGCAGAAGCGGAAAUAGAAAUAUAAGACGAGAAGACCCUAUGGAGCUUUAAAUAUAAAAUUAACUAUACCAUUAAACUACAAAUCCACGGAUAAAAUAAUAACAUUAGCUAUAAUUUGAAUUUUCGGUUGGGGCGACCACGGAGAAAAAAUAAUCCUCCGAGAUAAUAGUUUAGAAUUACACUUCAAAAAUUAAAACAUUUAUUAUAAAUGAUCCACUAAGUGACCAACGAACCAAGUUACCCUAGGGAUAACAGCGCAAUCCUUUCUAAGAGUCCAUAUCGACGAAUGGGUUUACGACCUCGAUGUUGGAUCAGGACAUCCUAAUGGUGCAGCCGCUAUUAAAGGUUNGUUNG
rnacentral:rRNA from 1 species